GACGGAGGGUGCUAGCGUUGUUCGGAAUCACUGGGCGUAAAGGGCGCGUAGGCGGCUCGUUAAGUCGGUGGUGAAAUCCCGGGGCUCAACCCCGUGGACUGCCUCCGAUACUGGCGGGCUUGAGGAAGGUAGGGGAGAGUGGAAUUCCUGGUGUAGCGGUGAAAUGCGCAGAAUAUCAGGAGGAACACCGAUGGCGAAGGCAGGUCUCUGGGCAUUAACUGACGCUGAGGAGCGAAAGCAUGGGGAGCGAACAGG
rnacentral:rRNA from 1 species